rnacentral:rRNA from 1 species
GACGAACUCUGGCGGCGUGCUUACACAUGCAAGUCGAACGGUAAGGCUCCAGCUUGCUGGGGUACACGAGUGGCGAACGGGUGAGUAACACGUGGGUGACCUGCCCUGCACUUCGGGAUAAGCCUGGGAAACUGGGUCUAAUACCGGAUAGGACCGCACCGUGAGGGUGUGGUGGAAAGUUUUUUCGGUGUGGGAUGGGCCCGCGGCCUAUCAGCUUGUUGGUGGGGUAAUGGCCUACCAAGGCGGCGACGGGUAGCCGGCCUGAGAGGGUGGACGGCCACAUUGGGACUGAGACACGGCCCAGACUCCUACGGGAGGCAGCAGUGGGGAAUAUUGCACAAUGGGCGGAAGCCUGAUGCAGCGACGCCGCGUGGGGGAUGACGGCCUUCGGGUUGUAAACUCCUUUCACCAUCGACGAAGGGUUUCUGACGGUAGAUGGAGAAGAAGCACCGGCUAACUACGUGCCAGCAGCCGCGGUAAUACGUAGGGUGCGAGCGUUGUCCGGAAUUACUGGGCGUAAAGAGCUCGUAGGUGGUUUAUCGCGUCGUCUGUGAAAUUCCGGGGCUUAACUCCGGGCGUGCAGGCGAUACGGGCAUAACUUGAGUACUGUAGGGGAGACUGGAAUUCCUGGUGUAGCGGUGAAAUGCGCAGAUAUCAGGAGGAACACCGGUGGCGAAGGCGGGUCUCUGGGCAGUAACUGACGCUGAGGAGCGAAAGCAUGGGGAGCGAACAGGAUUAGAUACCCUGGUAGUCCAUGCCGUAAACGGUGGGCGCUAGGUGUGGGUUUCCUUCCACGGGAUCCGUGCCGUAGCUAACGCGUUAAGCGCCCCGCCUGGGGAGUACGGCCGCAAGGCUAAAACUCAAAGGAAUUGACGGGGGCCCGCACAAGCGGCGGAGCAUGUGGAUUAAUUCGAUGCAACGCGAAGAACCUUACCUGGGCUUGACAUAUACAGGAUCGCGCCAGAGAUGGUGUUUCCCUUGUGGCUUGUAUACAGGUGGUGCAUGGUUGUCGUCAGCUCGUGUCGUGAGAUGUUGGGUUAAGUCCCGCAACGAGCGCAACCCUUGUCUUAUGUUGCCAGCACGUUGUGGUGGGGACUCGUAAGAAACUGCCGGGGUUAACUCGGAGGAAGGUGGGGAUGACGUCAAAUCAUCAUGCCCCUUAUGUCCAGGGCUUCACACAUGCUACAAUGGUCGGUACAGUGGGUUGCCAGUCCGUGAGGGCGAGCUAAUCCCGCAAAGCCGGUCUCAGUUCGGAUCGGGGUCUGCAACUCGACCCCGUGAAGUCGGAGUCGCUAGUAAUCGCAGAUCAGCAACGCUGCGGUGAAUACGUUCCCGGGCCU